GGAAGUAAAAGUCGUAACAAGGUCUCCGUAGGUGAACCUGCGGAGGGAUCAUUACACAAAUUAAAAUAUGAAGGCUUCGGCUGGAUUAUUUUUAUCACCCUUGUCUUUUGCGCACUUGUUGUUUCCUGGGCGGGUUCGCCCGCCACCAGGACCACACCAUAAACCUUUUUUUAUGCAGUUGCAAUCAGCGUCAGUAUAACAAAUGUAAAUCAUUUACAACUUUCAACAACGGAUCUCUUGGUUCUGGCAUCGAUGAAGAACGCAGCGAAAUGCGAUACGUAGUGUGAAUUGCAGAAUUCAGUGAAUCAUCGAAUCUUUGAACGCACAUUGCGCCCUUUGGUAUUCCAAAGGGCAUGCCUGUUCGAGCGUCAUUUGUACCCUCAAGCUUUGCUUGGUGUUGGGCGUCUUUUGUCUUUGGCCUCGCCCAAAGACUCGCCUUAAAACGAUUGGCAGCCGGCCUACUGGUUUCGCAGCGCAGCACAUUUUUGCGCUUGCAAUCAGCAAAAAGGACGGCAAUCCAUCAAGACUACAUUUUUACGUUUGACCUCGGAUCAGGUAGGGAUACCCGCUGAACUUAAGCAUAUCAAGCGGAGGAACCACACCACA
rnacentral:rRNA from 1 species